rnacentral:misc_RNA from 1 species
GGAGUAAUGCCAUUUUACUGGUUGUGGAACACCGAACAAACAAAGAAGCACGAUCAGUAACAUCAAGGAAAUGAGAAGUAGAGGUAUUGACCAUUGCUUCAUCCUUUUAACUGGAGCUAUGUUUAUCAACCGUCUGCUGAUGCCCCGAGCAUGGAUAUUCUUCUUAUUGGCUUCAUGCAGUUCAAGUGUCUCUACUCCACGGGGUACUUUUUCCGUUUGUAGUUUUAGUCUUCGAUUUGC